AACGUAUCAAUAUUUACCAAUCACUAGUGCACAUCCGAAACACACAUUCACAAGUAUUACAGUGUGUGAAUCUAUACGUCAUAUUAGAAAUAAUAGUGACACCAAUGAGUUAAAUAGACAUUUAACUAACUUACAAGAUAAGUUAGUUGAAAGAGGAUACUGUAAAAAUAAAACAGAGAAUGUUAUUAGAAACGUUAAAAAUACCACAAGCAGAAAAUCAACCUUAUUAAAGGCCGAUAGGACAAAAAAUGUCCCACUCACUCUCAUUACUAAAUAUAAUCCAAUGGUAAAAAACCUUAGUAAGGUUAUAAGAAAACAUUGGAGCAAACUGCAAAAAGACAAACAAUGUAGUGAAAUCUUCA
rnacentral:lncRNA from 1 species